CGGCACAGGAUCCGUUAGAGCCGCUAAGUGAGGAGCUAGCUGUUAGCUGUGGUUCUGCAGCACUAGUAAAACAUCCUCCACUGAUUGGACUUUUCACAAAGAAGAAAACUGGAGGAGUUGGUGAAAUGAUGGACCAGCUUUAUGAGAAACAGUUGCAGCUUCCUGAAUCUGCUGGAGCCCAGCGUCGUGGUGCAGGAGGCUCCACUCCCUCUGCUUCUGGGUCUGACU